UACGAAGGGUGCAAGCGUUACUCGGAAUUACUGGGCGUAAAGCGUGCGUAGGCGGUUUGUUAAGUCCGUUGUGAAAGCCCUGGGCUCAACCUGGGAAUUGCAGUGGAUACUGGUGAACUAGAAUGCGGUAGAGGGUGGCGGAACUCCGGGUGUAGCGGUGAAAUGCGUAGAUAUCCGGAAGAACACCGAUGGCGAAGGCAACCACCUGGGCCAGCACUGACGCUCAUGCACGAAAGCGUGGGGAGCAAACAGG
rnacentral:rRNA from 1 species